CUAUAAUACCUCUUCAGAGCAAAUUUAAAUAAUUAAAUAGUAAUCUCGCCCCUCUAAAUUUCAAGACUAGUCUCAACUCUCCUCUUACAUGAAUGUCUGAUUCUCUUCCAGUUGCCGCUCUCCAGAUUUUCAUCUAUCAGUAGUCGGCCCUUACCCUCUAUGUCUAACUUAGUUGCCUAACUCUUCUACAGUUUUAAAUCUCAAAAUCUAUGCUAGUUGAGUCUUACUCUCUAACUUAAAGCCUUUAGUAUUUACUUCAAUGCGGGAAUCAUUUUUCAACUUUAAGCCUUCAGCACCUCACUCGUUGGCCAUCACUCUCCAACUCUAACCCUCUUCUCCUCAGUCUGUCAGCUUAACUCUCGCCUCAACUUAAAUUCCAACUCUUGCCUCGCCUUUUCAACUCUCCUCUCCUCACUCACUCGUAGACCUUGCUCUCUGAGCUACUUCUCAUCCAACCUCCACUACUCCGGCUCCAGCCUCUAGUCAGUCCACUACCUCCUUUCAAAUUGUUCCUCUUAAGUUUGCUUAGGUAAAAUGAAAAUUUGAGCUUCAUAAAUAAACUCAAUCCUGACUAGUCGAAAUCAAGAUGAGAUUAAAAAUAUCUGAACAA
rnacentral:lncRNA from 1 species